rnacentral:lncRNA from 1 species
GUUCAAUGUAAAAACUGAACACUAUAUCUGAAGUAAGAAUAGACUGAAACCCCCACCGAAAGGAGGAAGAAGAGAAUGAACAGCAGAAACUGAGAAGGAAGAAACGAGUGUGGCCACAGAUGAAAUAACCAACCAUUAGAGAAAGAUAGAUCCAUUUCGCCAGAGAUGUGGAAGUCAAACCACCGAUAUUUUAAACUUGUUUUGUGAUUCAAUGUAUUUGUUAUUCUUGUUGGUUUUUUUUUUCUCUCUCUUUUUUCUUUCUCUUUUUUUUUCUCCCUUUUUUUCUCUUUCUUUUUUUUUUCUUUUUCUUUUUCUCUCUUUUCUUCUUUUCUCCUUGUAGGUUUUCCUUUCCCUAGUAUAUCUGUGUGCACAAUCUUUAUGUAUAUAUGUACACUAAUAUGUCAAAACUUAAUAAAAAAGACUUGAUAAAAAAAGAAGUCAUGAGGUCACUAAGGAUCUCAUCACAUUGAGGUGAUGAGUGUCUUCUCUGCAGUGCCAACACACUGCCAGCAUGGAAUCCUCCAGAGCCUAUCAGAUGAUGCAAGGCUAUUUCCAGCAGGGUUCCUCCAUUGGACUUCAUGCUGGCAGUGCAGAGAAAUGGAGCCCAGAGGUGUCAGAUUUAUGCCCAACUCCUCAUACCCAACAGGCAGAAGAGCUGAAGAGGAAGCAGGGAUAGAUAGGGAAACAUCAUGUGAGGGGAGACUACAGGCACAGAUGGGAGGUAACAGAAUAACGGCUUCUUUUGGUGCCCCACACUUGCCCCUGCUGCCCCGGCUGUACCCCACUUUAUCCCUACUCAUGUGAUAAGGUUCUUAGUUUCAUUCCAAAAUUCUGAGUGACGUAUUAAGGAGGGGAAAAAAUCACUCUGUCCUUUCUUCAGGGGCCAGGGUGCAAAAUAGUUAAAUUGUAUAGUCAAUUUAGUAGGGAAAAUAAAUCUGUGACUUGUUAACUUAUGCUGAAAAAAAAUGAGACUGAAAAGAAUUUGGUAUGGCUUUCCUAGAUGACUGAUGAAGGCUAUGGUGUCCACUCAUGUUUCUGGAACUUUUUUUUUUCCUCAGUGACUCUUGAUCUUUAACAGCUACCUGUCAGGCAGGGACAGAUGGCCCACUCCAUAGCACAAACAAUUCUACCUGUUUACUUUGGCCA